UCGCUUCAAGUUCUAAGUGCUCCGCGAUGGUUUCUAUUUGGAGUCGGAUGUCCAGUGCUCGACACCAGUUGUUCCCCAGGCCUUUGCCCAACUUGAGGUCUUUGGCCAACCAGCGGGAUGUUCCGUCACACGCAUAUAUCUCGGACACCCCCAGUCUGUUAAGGAAGCGGGCAGAUUUGAAGAGGAUGGCGGACUUGGGCUUUUGACUUGAGUCUACUGUCUUAGAGAAAGAUGCCUUAGCGGUGGAGGUACAGGUCCCCAGUUCGGCUUUUGGAAACGGAAUCUCGCGCCCUGCCGCGGGGGAGAUAACUUUCUGACCUUUAAAGCACCGAAAGGCGGAAAACAAGAUCCGUUCGUCCAGCCAGCCAGGCCAGGGGACCUCUGGAAAAGUAACUGCGUUCAGGGUGCUGGGGGCGGGGGUGCUGCAAACAGAAGGCCGGGCUUCAGUUUGGGAGUUAGCGUAGAAAGGAAGAGGGUAUCGCAAGUAGUGUGUUCUAAGGGACUGAGAAGGACCAUGGUCACAGCUGCUCCCAAAUAUGAUGACUCUCACCCUGAAAUAAAUGAAAACCGAGGAGGGGAGAAACUAGGCAAACUGGAAAGUAGAAAGGGAGGCGGAUGGGCCGGGGGUGGGGCGGCGUAGGGAGGAGUCGGCCCAAGCCAAUCAGUGGCGCCAAGGCGGAUGACGCCCCAGCCAAUGGAUAGCCAGCGCGGGACUUUCAAGUAUUGUCCCGCCCAACUGGGAAAAGACUGUGCCUAUAAAGACUGCUGCAGCGGCCGCACCCCUGCUUACUCUCCCUGCGCGGCGCUGCUCCCGGGAGUUCGCGUCUCGGUUCGCUAUGGCUCGUACGAAGCAGACUGCCCGCAAGUCGACCGGGGGCAAGGCCCCGCGGAAGCAGCUGGCCACCAAGGCCGCUCGCAAGAGCGCGCCGGCCACGGGCGGCGUCAAGAAGCCGCACCGCUACCGGCCGGGCACCGUGGCCCUGCGGGAGAUCCGGCGCUACCAGAAGUCGACCGAGCUGCUGAUCCGCAAGCUGCCGUUCCAGCGGCUGGUGCGCGAGAUCGCGCAGGACUUCAAGACGGACCUGCGCUUCCAGAGCUCGGCCGUGAUGGCGCUGCAGGAGGCGAGCGAGGCCUACCUGGUGGGGCUGUUUGAAGACACGAACCUGUGCGCCAUCCACGCCAAGCGCGUGACCAUCAUGCCCAAAGACAUCCAGCUGGCUCGCCGCAUCCGCGGGGAGCGGGCUUAAGAAGUGUGCGCUCGGCUCGAGGUUCCAUCAAAUCCAAAGGCUCUUUUCAGAGCCACCCACGACUACACUUGAAAGAGGCUGUGUCGCUUGUCCACCCUCUCUUGGCGGGCCUUCGCGUACUCCGCGAGGGUAGGGCGCGGCGCGCUCAAGACGGGAGGGCCUUAGAGCGCGCAAAGCACUGGACUCCCGACAGAUACAGGCUAAAGGCCACUUGUACGGUCUAAACCCCUGCUUGCUGCUGCCUUCCCGGGUGUCAGUAACUUCAGAGUUGGGUCAGCGUGCUUGUCUGGGCUGGCGGGUUGCCGCCGCUUCCUUGGGCGUGCCCAAGACGUCCGGUAGGCUCGUGCUCUUUUGGGGAGUCUUGGAGCUGGGUUGUAGCCCAGAACUGGAAUUUGUCCCGGGAGCGUGGGUAGGGGCCGGGGAGGCGAGUUGAGACGAGGCGGAGUGACUCAGGAUUCGCGGGCUUGAGUGGGCCGGGCUGGCUUUUUAGGCGGCUGAGAGCCAGGCGCAGAUCUGACCUCUCCCGCGCCGGAAAGGGCCCCUCCCGCCGGCGUGGAUCUCCCGCUUGGGAGGGAGGGAAAUCGCCUCCUCGUUCCACGCCCAUUUCGGCGUAAAGUGCGGCAUUCCUGACCCUGGCUGCAGGCUGAAUGUCAGUUAUGCCAGGACUUCUCUCAGGGAAAAUAUUAGCGGAUGCUAUUCAUCCCCUUACCCCACUCUAUCAUGAUUCCCGCGCAAGCCUGAAUGAUUUUGCCUGGUAUUUUAAGCCCUUAACUUUGCUCCUUUCAAAUACCAACCCAACUCAGACAAGUACCACUAGCUUUGUGCUGGAAUAGACCAAAGGAUGGAGAAGGAUCUUAUGUCUCCGGCCGGGCAUGCAGUUCGGACAGUCGAGUGGGUUUGACCUGCCCGAAGGAACAGCGGGGGAAAGAGGAUGAAUGGACCAGGGUUCGUGGGCCACCGUAAUCUAGGUCUCUACCUGACCACUCGGUCUUGUCGGUAUUGUUCUCCACUCCACAGCAGGAGACGGAUUCUUCCUGGAGACAUCCUGAGGUGCACAGGCCUGAGCUCUGUUUAGUUAUUUGAGAAGUUACUCAGCUCAAGACUCUCGGAAUUGAAGCUUAGGGCAGCACUGAAACCAGUGGAAGGCAGAACAGAGCCUCUCCCUUGCACCCAUCCCCCUGGCCCCAGGAUUUGAGAGCAGAGAUUUGACGUUGCCUCAGAGGAGUGGAUUCCUGCACCACAUGACAGCGGAAGUCUAAGGUCUCUUAGUGUCUUUUAGGAACAAAGCUGUUCACCUCGGGGGGUGGAGAGCAGAGUCCAGAAGUGACUCAGAAGCCACCUAUUUCUAACCUUGAGUAUGGCCUGUUUGCACCUGAAGAGGUCAGAGUUCGGGGGGUUUGUGUUUCAGCACAGUUGGUAAAAGCAUUACCAGAGAUGAAUGAAAAUGCACUGAGGGGAAUAGAAAUUGAAGUAGACACACUGUUGAAAACUUUUGCCCCUUGCAAGGAGUUGGGGGUGGGGGAGGGCAAAGAAGAGCAGAGUGGACUGUAGCCUCUGACAGCAGGUACCCAGUUUUUAGCCCCAGGCUCACAAAGAUUUUCAGAAAAGGGCUGAAAUUAUGGGCUGAAUUGUGUCCCCCAGCCACCCAUUCAUAUGUCGAGGCCCUAACUCCUAGUACCUCAGAUGUGACUCUGCUUGAGGACAGGACCUCUAAAGCGGUGAUCGAGAUUAAAAUGGUGUCAUUAAGAUAGGUGCUAAUCCAAUGAUUGGUAUCUGUAUGAGAGAAGGGGAUCAGGCCACAGACAGCAGAGGGACGGUCUUGGGAGGACACAAGAAGGCAGCCAUCUGUAAGCCAAAGAGACAGGUCUCAGAAGAAAUCAAGCCAGCUGAUAUCUUUUUCUAUUAAUUUGUUCAUUUAUUUCAUUUACUUGGGUACAUUGGGUCUUAGUUGUGGCAAAGCGUGUGG